UACGGAGGGGGCUAGCGUUGUUCGGAAUCAUUGGGCGUAAAGGGCGCGUAGGCGGCCGAUCAAGUCGGAGGUGAAAUCCCUCGGCUCAACUGAGGAACUGCCUUUGAUACUGUUCGGCUUGAGUCCUGGAGAGGGUAGCGGAAUUCCCGGUGUAGCGGUGAAAUGCGUUGAUAUCAGGAGGAACACCCAUGGCGAAGGCAGCUAACUGGGCAUUAUCUGACGCUGAGGCGCGAAAGCGUGGGUAGCAAACAGG
rnacentral:rRNA from 1 species